rnacentral:rRNA from 1 species
AGUGAACGCUGGCGGUAGGCCUAACACAUGCAAGUCGAACGGCAGCACAGUAAGAGCUUGCUCUUACGGGUGGCGAGUGGCGGACGGGUGAGGAAUACAUCGGAAUCUACUUUUUCGUGGGGGAUAACGUAGGUAAACUUACGCUAAUACCGCAUACGACCUACGGUUGAAAGCAGGGGAUCUUCGGACCUUGCGCGAUUGAAUGAGCCGAUGUCGGAUUAGCUAGUUGGCGGGGUAAAGGCCCACCAAGGCGACGAUCCGUAGCUGGUCUGAGAGGAUGGUCAGCCGCACUGGAACUGAGACACGGUCCAGACGCCUAAGGGAGGCAGCAGUGGGGAAUAGUGGACAAAGGGCGCAAGCCUGAUCCAGCCAUACCGCGUGGGUGAAGAAGGCCUUCGGGUUGUAAAGCCCUUUUGUUGGGAAAGAAAAGCAGCAGGUUAAGACCCAGCUGUUCUGACGGUACCCAAAAAAUAAGCACCGGCUAACUUCGUG